UACGAAGGGGGCUAGCGUUGUUCGGAAUUACUGGGCGUAAAGGGCGCGUAGGCGGCUGUGCAAGUCAGGUGUGAAAGCCCUGGGCUCAACCCAGGAUGUGCACUUGAUACUGCACGGCUAGAGUGUCGGAGAGGAUGGUGGAAUUCCACGUGUAGCGGUGAAAUACGUAGAGAUGUGGAGGAACACCGAUGGCGAAGGCAGCCUCCUGGGCCAACACUGACGCUCAUGCACGAAAGCGUGGGGAGCAAACAGG
rnacentral:rRNA from 1 species